AAACCAACAGGGAUUGCCCUAGUAACGGCGAGUGAAGCGGCAACAGCUCAAAUUUGAAAUCUGGCCCUCGGGUCCGAGUUGUAAUUUGUAGAGGAUGCUUUUGGUGAGGUACCUUCCGAGUUCCCUGGAACGGGACGCCAUAGAGGGUGAGAGCCCCGUCUGGUUGGAUACCGAUCCUCUGUAAAGCUCCUUCGACGAGUCGAGUAGUUUGGGAAUGCUGCUCUAAAUGGGAGGUAUAUGUCUUCUAAAGCUAAAUAUUGGCCAGAGACCGAUAGCGCACAAGUAGAGUGAUCGAAAGAUGAAAAGCACUUUGAAAAGAGAGUUAAAAAGUACGUGAAAUUGUUGAAAGGGAAGCGCUCAUGACCAGACUUGGGCUUGGUUGAUCAUCCAGGGUUCUCCCUGGUGCACUCUUCCAGCUCAGGCCAGCAUCAGUUCGCCGCGGGGGAUAAAGGCUUUGGGAAUGUGGCUCCCCCGGGAGUGUUAUAGCCCACUGCGUAAUACCCUGUAGUGGACUGAGGUUCGCGCAUCUGCAAGGAUGCUGGCGUAAUGGUCAUCAGCGAC
rnacentral:rRNA from 2 species